GUCUAUGGCCGUGCCACCCUGAUCGCGCCCGAUCCCGAAUGAUCUCGGAAGCUAAACUGGGUCAGGCUUGGUCAGUACUUGGAUGGGAAACCGCCAGGGAAUACCGGGUGCUGUCAGCU
ensembl:rRNA n-R5s92 nuclear encoded rRNA 5S 92